rnacentral:rRNA from 1 species
UACGAAGGGGGCUAGCGUUGCUCGGAAUGACUGGGCGUAAAGGGCGCGUAGGCGGAUGUUACAGUCAGGCGUGAAAUUCCUGGGCUCAACCUGGGGGCUGCGCUUGAGACUGUGGGACUUGAGGUCAGAAGAGGGUCGUGGAAUUCCCAGUGUAGAGGUGAAAUUCGUAGAUAUUGGGAAGAACACCGGUGGCGAAGGCGGCGACCUGGUCUGAUACUGACGCUGAGGCGCGACAGCGUGGGGAGCAAACAGG